GACGAACGCUGGCGGCGUGCUUAACACAUGCAAGUCGAACGGAGAGGCCCUGCUUGCAGGGUACUCGAGUGGCGAACGGGUGAGUAACACGUGGGUGAUCUGCCCUGCACUUCGGGAUAAGCCUGGGCAACUGGGUCUAAUACCGGAUAGGAGCCAUUUUUAGUGUGAUGGUUGGACAGUUUUUUCGGUGUAGGAUGAGCUCGCGGCCUAUCGGCUUGUUGGUGGGGUAAUGGCCUACCAAGGCGGCGACGGGUAGCCGGCCUGAGAGGGUGGACGGCCACAUUGGGACUGAGAUACGGCCCAGACUCCUACGGGAGGCAGCAGUGGGGAAUAUUGCACAAUGGGCGCAAGCCUGAUGCAGCGACGCCGCGUGGGGGAUGACGGCCUUCGGGUUGUAAACUCCUUUCGCUAGGGACGAAGCUUUUUGUGACGGUACCUAGAUAAGAAGCACCGGCUAACUACGUG
rnacentral:rRNA from 1 species